ACUGCGACACGACUGACUUUCACCACUAUUUAACUGUAAAAUAUUAUAAGUUUAUUAAACGGUCGACACACUUACUCAGUGUUUACUGUAACACAUCGGAAAAACAGAGCACACCAACAGCAGCAGAGAGAGGAAAGCCUUUCUUAUUUUAUACUUGAAAGAAGCUCAUCUUCCACCUCCCAUCCUCACCAUGCUCUAUAGUGGGGCUGUAGGAAGCAUCCUGAGCACCUGCAUUACCGUCUGGUUUUUGGAACUGCAACAUCUCGAAUUGCAAGACCCCACAGCAGAAAGUGAGGACAGCUGAGAAGAUAUUCAGAGUCUCUCUCCCCUCCAUCACCAACAUCUACACCACACAGUGCAACUGCAAAGCCACCAGCAUUGCGGACGACCCCACCCAUCCCUCACACGGACUCUUCGCUCUGAUGCCUUCCAGCAGAAGAUACAGGAACAUCCGAGCCUCCAAUAUUAGACUCUGCAACAGCUUCUUUCAUCAGACCAUCAGACCCCUCAACACACAGAUACAGAGCUGACCCCCCCCCCCAUCACCACACAACUGAACUGAACCCUCCCCUUAGCACACAGAGACUGAGAUGUCUCUAUCCCUAUCAGCAAUAUUUGCUUCAUUCUAUAGAAGUAUAACUCUCUACCUCAGUAACUGCUGUGAACAUGUUUGUUUUAUAUGUUAAAGUAUGUUAAAUAUCCCUACACCUUUUUAUCACUAUACACAUUUCAUUGUACCGUAACUGCACUGUCCUGUCUGUUCAAUUGUUCAAUCACUUUUGCACUUUAUGUUUGCAUUGUUGUCCAAUGUUGAACUGUGUUGGUUCCAGAGGACACUGGUCACUGUGUAAUCAGAUGUAAUGAUAAUAAAAGACUCUUGACUAUA